UACGUAGGGUGCGAGCGUUAAUCGGAAUUACUGGGCGUAAAGCGUGCGCAGGCGGUUUAUGUAAGACAGUUGUGAAAUCCCCGGGCUCAACCUGGGAACUGCAUCUGUGACUGCAUAGCUAGAGUACGGUAGAGGGGGAUGGAAUUUCCGCGUGUAGCAGUGAAAUGCGUAGAUAUGCGGAGGAACACCGAUGGCGAAGGCAAUCCCCUGGACCUGUACUGACGCUCAUGCACGAAAGCGUGGGGAGCAAACAGG
rnacentral:rRNA from 1 species